rnacentral:lncRNA from 1 species
GGCUGGAAGAAAUAUCCAGACCCUUCACACUCUCUCCUUUUGCCAGCAACCAAGGAUGCCUAUCCACACAGUUACUCCUUUCCCUCAAAUCUAGAAGUGUCUCAGCUAUGAUGUGAUCAACUGUAGAGGUGAUUGUAGAAGUUGAAGUCAUUUUGAAGCCAUCAUAGCGGCAGAGUUCAACGGAUGAGUGUUGUUAAGCAUAUCCGAUGAAAGAGAGACACUUAUUGAUGAAAUUGAAGGAACAGUCGUUGAAACUGUAACAAUAGAAUCUGUGGAGAUUGAUUUUAUGCUAAGUGCCACAAAAUUCAUUGCUACAGUAGAAAGAGUAGUAGGAAAGUGAUCCAAUAAAUCAUCAAAGUGAUGAUGAU